rnacentral:rRNA from 1 species
AGCAGCCGCGGUAAUUCCAGCUCCAAUAGCGUAUAUUAAAGUUGUUGCAGUUAAAAAGCUCGUAGUUGAAUUUCGGGAUUAGUGCGCCGGUCGUGCCUUCGGUAUGUACUGGUGUUACUGGUUCCUACCUUCUGACGAACCGUCAUGUCAUUAAUUUGGUGUGGCGGGAAAUCAGGACUGUUACUUUGAAAAAAUUGAGUGUUUAAAGCAGGCUCGCGCUUGAAUACACUAGCAUGGAAUAAUGAAAUAGGACGUUCGAUCCUAUUUUGUUGGUUUCUAGGAUUGACGUAAUGAUUAAUAGGGAUAGUUGGGGGCAUUAGUAUUCAAUUGUCAGAGGUGAAAUUCUUGGAUUUAUUGAAGACUAACUACUGCGAAAGCAUUUGCCAAGGAUGUUUUCAUUAAUCAAGAACGAAGUUAGGGGAUCGAAGACGAUCAGAUACCGUCGUAGUCUUAACCAUAAACU